GGGGGAUUAGCUCAGUUGGCUAGAGCGCCUGCUCCGCAAGCAGGAAGUCAUCGGUUCGAAUCCGAUAUUCUCCACAA
rnacentral:tRNA from 1 species